AAAUUAAGAUGGAUUAGUUCGGAUGAUGACGAAAUUGUGAAAUACAAGGACGGGGAUAUUCAAGAUCAUAAAAAUAUCAAAGACAAAAUUUAUGAAUGCGACAAAUUCGCCGGUAAUGAUAUCAAAGAAGCGUACGAAGGAG